CCCCGCGCCCCCCGGCGGGCGGAGCCCGGCGCCGCGGCCAGGAUUUCCCACCUCGCUCCCGCGACUCCGCUGCGGGUCUGCACACCCGAGGACUCGGUUUGAAACGCCCGCUUAUUUAUUUUCUUGUCGCCUCGCUACAAGAUUCUAUCCUUGUUUGGGCAUGAGUGGGGGGCGGCAGUCUCGUGGGACCGGCGGCAUUCGUCGUUCCUCCUUACGGGGAUAAUUCGAGAAGUGCGGUCCGGGGGUACUUAACCGAAACUAGCAAUCCCAGGCGGUACAAGGCCCUCCAUCGUAGGCAAAGCACUACCUGAAUGUAGAUUUGGGCCAUACGUUGGAAAAUAAGACAUGAGAGUAUGCUCCGAUCAACUUUUACUGUUCACUGGACAACUAUUUUGGGAAUUUGCAGACCUAUAAAGCCCAUCUAUAAAUCUCAAGCAUGUCCACUUUCAGAGAAGAGAAAUGCUGACAACCAUUUAGUCUCUGAGGACAACACUUUUAAAGUGUAACAAUGUGGCAUCCAGAGCUUAUCCAGAUGAGCGGAGAGCAAAUGAAUUUCCUUCUGCUCCCCUGUUGAAGAGGAGAGAAAAAUUCUUCAAGCUAGCCAGAAAGGUACAUUUCCUCUUCAUGUGUUCUCACUUCCAUCCUUUACCUCGGUGAAAAGACGUUUUCCUUCCGUACACUCAUCAGUCCAAGAGGGAUGAAGCUUGUGGAAAUUUUGCAGCAGCCUUCCCUGACCAUGGUGGCCUGAAGUGCACCUUUUAUACAGGACUCCAUCAUAGGACUGGAGAGAGAUUGGAUGUCAGAGUGAUUGAUGUGCUCCUACUGGAAGAAGGCAAACAUCCAUAUGUGAACUGCCUGUGGGGUUUCCAAGGAAAGGAACGGCAGGCAGCCUCUAUGAGCUUAAAGAAGAUAACUGGGACUUUAGUCCUAUAACCUCAAGGAACAGUAUUCUGUGAACCAUCUGAGAAGCUUGGAAGAGGACCCCAAACUCCAAAUAAGAAGCUCAGUGUGUCUGACACCUUGACUGCAGGCUUGGGAGGUCCUGAGCAGAAGAUCCAGUUCAACAGUGCCUGGACUCCUGAUCCACAAAAACUGAUAACAAAUAUUUAUUGUUUUAAGAUGCUAAGUUUGUAGUCAUUUUUUAUACAGCAACAGAAAACUAAACACACACAUAAACAGUUAUAAGUGCUCACUGUAUAUGAGGCUUUUCAUUAAUAAUCUAUAUUUUAUAAUAGAAUUAGAAUAUAGAUCUGUGAAGCUGAAGACACUCAAUCCUUGCUAGAUUUAAAUCAGGAAAAUCAGCUGAGAAUCAUUCCUUGAUAGAACCUGGAAAACAAGACCCUAUGAGAGACCCUGGGAAUUACAUUAAAUUCACUGUGGUUCCCAGUGUCACUGAAGAGGUUUUCCUUUCAUAGUCAGGUAGUCACCAUACUGUUAAGCAUUUGAACACAUGGGCAACUUCCAGAAUAGUUAUGACAUUGAUAUACCAAUCUCCAAAAUUCCUAGAAUACCAUGUUUUCAUGGUUGACCUUCAAAUCAGUCAGUUCUUUGUAACAUUGAGCCAUAAAGAUAGGGCAAAUACUUAAUGUUUUACAUAUAUUCAGAGAUUGACCCUCAAAAUACAGCCCAGAGAAACUCAAAAGAAUUAACUCUAUUUCUUCAAAUUGUGUGACGCCACCAAGGCCAGAUGACUUCAGCAUUGGGAAGGCAAUAUCCAGCUGUCAUCUUCUUGAUCCUCAUAUGCUACUACUAGCAUCUAGCAUUUACUGAGCAGAUAGUUUUAUUGUCCAGUUUUUAAAGAUAAGAAAAUUGAGGUAUUAGGAAAGUUAAGUUGGUUGCCUAGGGAAACACGAAGAUAUAGCCCAGAUUCACUCCCAGGCAGGCAGAUGCCAGUGUCUGCUCUCUUUACCACCGAAAUAUCCUGCUACAUGUACAAUUUCAAUAAAUAUCUGGACUUACUGGAACAAAACAAAUCAACAACAUUCUUAUUUUCUUUCUUCAGUUUAGAUUAAAUAAUUUAAAUGUCUUCUUAAGAAGCUACAGUUUUUUGAGGCACAGAGGGAUAGGAGGGUAGGUCCUACCAGUUGAGUCACUCAGCCCUAUAGUUGUGAAAAUCCUUAAUUUUAAGAAGCAGCAGUAAAGUCUCUACUUCUCAAGCUUGCCAUUAGAUGGUUUUAAAUAAUUGACAGGCUCUGCUCAAGUUCUUCUGAUUUCUCCAUAUCCUGGAAAUGGUUAAAGGCAUAAGCAGGAAGCCAUUCCCUUUUGAUGAGCUGCUAUGACAUCAUGCAGUAAGUUUACUGAAGAGAGAUUCCUGAUGAAAGAUGCAAGAGAAACUAGAUACAUUAAGCAGUCGUUUCUUUAUAUGAAUCAAUGGGACACCUUUGCUUUCCUUUACUCUAAGUGACCUAUAUGCAGAAAAUGAACUCACUUUUCCUAUGUUUAGAUCAAGUUUUCAAGUUACUUCCUGGCAAACAACCCUAACAAGAUCAUGUAUGAUAGUUAAUUGGCCAUAAUCUCUGCCUUUUCUUUUUUUCUGGCUAAAUAACCAGGUGGAC
rnacentral:lncRNA from 1 species